rnacentral:lncRNA from 1 species
AAUCUUGGCCCAAAAAUGCUCCAAAAUGCUCCAAAUAGCACUUUGUUGCUAACUUUUUUUUUUUGAACCUACAAACACACGAAAAUAGCUUAAAGUACUAAAAUAACUAGAAUUAAACUAAGUAAAUGCCAAGAAACAAGCUAACUAAGUUGCAUAAAUAUGCUCCUAUCAAAUUCCCCCACACAUAGCUUUUGCUAGUCCUCGAGCAAAACAAAUGAAACAAAACAAAACAAAACAAACAAAACACAACCUAACCUUUGAUAGACGCAUAUUUAUGCGACUUAGUUAACUAGUUUUCUUGCAUUUACGUUAUUAGUUCUUAGUU